CCUACGGGCGGCAGCAGUGGGGAAUAUUGCACAAUGGGCGCAAGCCUGAUGCAGCCAUGCCGCGUGUGUGAAGAAGGCCUUCGGGUUGUAAAGCACUUUCAGCGGGGAGGAAGGCGUUAAGGUUAAUAACCUUGUCGAUUGACGUUACCCGCAGAAGAAGCACCGGCUAACUCCGUGCCAGCAGCCGCGGUAAUACGGAGGGUGCAAGCGUUAAUCGGAAUUACUGGGCGUAAAGCGCACGCAGGCGGUCUGUCAAGUCGGAUGUGAAAUCCCCGGGCUCAACCUGGGAACUGCAUUCGAAACUGGCAGGCUAGAGUCUUGCAGAGGGGGGUAGAAUUCCAGGUGUAGCGGUGAAAUGCGUAGAGAUCUGGAGGAAUACCGGUGGCGAAGGCGGCCCCCUGGACAAAGACUGACGCUCAGGUGCGAAAGCGUGGGGAGCAAACAGGAUUAGAUACCCUAGUAGUC
rnacentral:rRNA from 1 species